GGUUCAGGACUGUGCCCUGUCUUGUCAGUUCUCUGCCCUUGGCACCUGGGUCGGCCCUUAGCACAGAGACCUGCUGCAGCCCCAGGGACCCUGCGGAUCUCUGCUCAGGAGAGGUGGAGGAGCUCACCAUCUCCAGCCCAGGAGGGCUCUACCAAGAAGUCAAGUUCAAGUUCAGCGAGGACCAAAAGCUCCCAGCUGGGGAUGAAGAGGAGUGUUCUCUAGAGGACACAGUGGUGGACGUGCGGGGCUCCCGUACUGUGAGCAUCAAGAUCACCAACAGGACAGGUGUGACGUUCAAGGAUCCCAUGCUCUGCUGUCGGAGUGGCCAGGCCCACGUGAGACCACCACCUGUGCUUCCCCCGAAGUCCACCGUCCACUGUUCCUUCACAAAGACGAGCUCCAGCUUCCAGGGCACAGCGGGCCUGCUGGCCUACCAGGGCCCAGACGAGCACCUGGCCCUGCUGUUCUCCGUCCCCUUCAGCUACGCCCUCCA
rnacentral:lncRNA from 1 species